rnacentral:rRNA from 1 species
AUUGAACGCUGGCGGCAGGCCUAACACAUGCAAGUCGAGCGGAUGAAGGGAGCUUGCUCCUGGAUUCAGCGGCGGACGGGUGAGUACUGCCUAGGAAUCUGCCUGGUAGUGGGGGAUAACGUCCGGAAACGGGCGCUAAUACCGCAUACGUCCUGAGGGAGAAAGUGGGGGAUCUUCGGACUUACUGCCUACAUAGUAGCCUAGAUGGGUUCAACUAGUGGGUGGGGUAAAGGCUUACAAAGGCGAGGAUCCGUAACUGGUCUGAGAGGAUGACCAGUUACACUGGAACUGAGACACGGUCCAGACUCCUACGGUGGGCAGCAGUGGGGAAUAUUGGGCGAUGGGCGAGAGCCUGAUCCAGCCAUGCCGCGGGUGUGAAGAGGGCCUUCGGAUGGUAAAGCACUUUAAGUUGGGGGGAAGGGCAGUAAGUUAAUACCGUGCUGUUUUGACGUUACCAACAGAAUAAGCACCGGCUAACUUCGUG